GAUGAACGCUGGCGGCAGGCUUAACACAUGCAAGUCGAACGCAUCCUUCGGGGUGAGUGGCAGACGGGUGAGUAACGCGUGGGAACGUGCCCUUCAGUUCGGGAUAACCCAGGGAAACUUGGGCUAAUACCGGAUACGUGCGAGAGCAGAAAGAUUUAUCGCUGAAGGAUCGGCCCGCGUCUGAUUAGCUAGUUGGUGGGGUAAUGGCCCACCAAGGCGACGAUCAGUAGCUGGUCUGAGAGGAUGAUCAGCCACAUUGGGACUGAGACACGGCCCAAACUCCUACGGGAGGCAGCAGUGGGGAAUGUUGGACAAUGAGCGCAAGCCUGAUCCAGCCAUGCCGCGUGAGUGAUGAAGGCCUUAGGGUUGUAAAGCUCUUUCGUCCGGGACGAUAAUGACGGUACCGGAAGAAGAAGCCCCGGCUAACUUCGUGCCAGCCGCCGCCGUAA
rnacentral:rRNA from 1 species